AUGAACGCUGGCGGCGUGCCUAAUACAUGCAAGUCGAACGCUGGAGAUCUAGCUUGCUAGAUCGAAGGAGUGGCGAACGGGUGAGUAAUACAUAAGCAACCUACCCACGAAGACUGGGAUAAUCUCUGGAAACGGGGACUAAUACCGGAUAGGUAAUCGGAAGGCAUCUUCUGGUUAUUAAAGGUUAAAAACACUGGUGGAUGGGCUUAUGGCGCAUUAGUUAGUUGGUGAGGUAACGCCCACCAAGACGAUGAUGCGUAGCCGGCCUGAGAGGGUGAACGGCCACAUUGGGACUGAGACACGGCCCAGACUCCUACGGGAGGCAGCAGUAGGGAAUUUUCGGCAAUGGGGGCAACCCUGACCGAGCAACGCCGCGUGAGUGAAGACGGCCUUCGGGUUGUAAAGCUCUGUUGUAAGGGAAGAACGGUAGAUAGAGAAUAUCUAAGUGACGGUACCUUACCAGAAAGCCACGGCUAACUACGUG
rnacentral:rRNA from 1 species